rnacentral:rRNA from 1 species
AGUGAACGCUGGCGGUAGGCCUAACACAUGCAAGUCGAACGGCAGCACAGGAGAGCUUGCUCUCUGGGUGGCGAGUGGCGGACGGGUGAGGAAUACUUCGGAAUCUACUCUGUCGUGGGGGAUAACGUAGGGAAACUUACGCUAAUACCGCAUACGACCUACGGGUGAAAGCAGGGGACCUUCGGGCCUUGCGCGAUUGAAUGAGCCGAUGUCGGAUUAGCUAGUUGGCGGGGUAAAGGCCCACCAAGGCGACGAUCCGUAGCUGGUCUGAGAGGCUGAUCAGCCACACUGGAACUGAGACACGGUCCAGACUCCUACGGGAGGCAGCAGUGGGGAAUAUUGGACAAUGGGCGCAAGCCUGAUCCAGCCAUACCGCGUGGGUGAAGAAGGCCUUCGGGUUGUAAAGCCCUUUUGUUGGGAAAGAAAUCCAGCUGGCUAAUACCCGGUUGGGAUGACGGUACCCAAAGAAUAAGCACCGGCUAACUUCGUGCCAGCCGCCGCUGUAA